rnacentral:rRNA from 1 species
GUAGGGCGGGACACGUGGUAUCCUGUCUGAAUAUGGGGGGACCAUCCUCCAAGGCUAAAUACUCCUGACUGACCGAUAGUGAACCAGUACCGUGAGGGAAAGGCGAAAAGAACCCCGGCGAGGGGAGUGAAAAAGAACCUGAAACCGUGUACGUACAAGCAGUGGGAGCCUCUUAAUGGGGUGACUGCGUACCUUUUGUAUAAUGGGUCAGCGACUUAUAUUCUGUAGCAAGGUUAACCGAAUAGGGGAGCCGAAGGGAAACCGAGUCUUAACUGGGCGUUAAGUUGCAGGGUAUAGACCCGAAACCCGGUGAUCUAGCCAUGGGCAGGUUGAAGGUUGGGUAACACUAACUGGAGGACCGAACCGACUAAUGUUGAAAAAUUAGCGGAUGACUUGUGGCUGGGGGUGAAAGGCCAAUCAAACCGGGAGAUAGCUGGUUCUCCCCGAAAGCUAUUUAGGUAGCGCCUCGUGAAUUCAUCUCCGGGGGUAGAGCACUGUUUCGGCAAGGGGGUCAUCCCGACUUACCAACCCGAUGCAAACUGCGAAUACCGGAGAAUGUUAUCACGGGAGACACACGGCGGGUGCUAACGUCCGUCGUGAAGAGGGAAACAACCCAGACCGCCAGCUAAGGUCCCAAAGUCAUGGUUAAGUGGGAAACGAUGUGGGAAGGCCCAGACAGCCAGGAUGUUGGCUUAGAAGCAGCCAUCAUUUAAAGAAAGCGUAAUAGCUCACUGGUCGAGUCGGCCUGCGCGGAAGAUGUAACGGGGCUAAACCAUGCACCGAAGCUGCGGCAGCGACACUAUGUGUUGUUGGGUAGGGGAGCGUUCUGUAAGCCUGUGAAGGUGUACUGUGAGGUAUGCUGGAGGUAUCAGAAGUGCGAAUGCUGACAUAAGUAACGAUAAAGCGGGUGAAAAGCCCGCUCGCCGGAAGACCAAGGGUUCCUGUCCAACGUUAAUCGGGGCAGGGUGAGUCGACCCCUAAGGCGAGGCCGAAAGGCGUAGUCGAUGGGAAACAGGUUAAUAUUCCUGUACUUGGUGUUACUGCGAAGGGGGGACGGAGAAGGCUAUGUUGGCCGGGCGACGGUUGUCCCGGUUUAAGCGUGUAGGCUGGUUUUCCAGGCAAAUCCGGAAAAUCAAGGCUGAGGCGUGAUGACGAGGCACUACGGUGCUGAAGCAACAAAUGCCCUGCUUCCAGGAAAAGCCUCUAAGCAUCAGGUAACAUCAAAUCGUACCCCAAACCGACACAGGUGGUCAGGUAGAGAAUACCAAGGCGCUUGAGAGAACUCGGGUGAAGGAACUAGGCAAAAUGGUGCCGUAACUUCGGGAGAAGGCACGC